CCUACGGGCGGCUGCAGUGGGGAAUAUUGCACAAUGGGCGCAAGCCUGAUGCAGCCAUGCCGCGUGUGUGAAGAAGGCCUUCGGGUUGUAAAGCACUUUCAGCGGGGAGGAAGGCGGUGAGGUUAAUAACCUCAUCGAUUGACGUUACCCGCAGAAGAAGCACCGGCUAACUCCGUGCCAGCAGCCGCGGUAAUACGGAGGGUGCAAGCGUUAAUCGGAAUUACUGGGCGUAAAGCGCACGCAGGCGGUCUGUCAAGUCGGAUGUGAAAUCCCCGGGCUCAACCUGGGAACUGCAUUCGAAACUGGCAGGCUAGAGUCUUGUAGAGGGGGGUAGAAUUCCAGGUGUAGCGGUGAAAUGCGUAGAGAUCUGGAGGAAUACCGGUGGCGAAGGCGGCCCCCUGGACAAAGACUGACGCUCAGGUGCGAAAGCGUGGGGAGCAAACAGGAUUAGAUACCCUUGUAGUC
rnacentral:rRNA from 1 species